UACGUAGGGUGCGAGCGUUGUCCGGAAUUACUGGGCGUAAAGAGCUCGUAGGUGGUUUGUCGCGUUGUCCGUGAAAACUCACAACUCAAUUGUGGGCGUGCGGGCGAUACGGGGCAGACUGGAGUACUGCAGGGGAGACUGGAAUUCCUGGUGUAGCGGUGGAAUGCGCAGAUAUCAGGAGGAACACCGGUGGCGAAGGCGGGGUCUCUGGGCAGUAACUGACGCUGAGGAGCGAAAGCGUGGGGAGCGAACAGG
rnacentral:rRNA from 1 species